rnacentral:rRNA from 1 species
UACGGGGGGGGGCAAGCGUUGUUCGGAAUUACUGGGCGUAAAGGGCGCGUAGGCGGUCUACUAAGUUGGAUGUGAAAACUCUGGGCUUAACCCAGAGCCUGCAUUCAAAACUGAUAGGCUGGAGUUCUGGAGGGGAUAGCGGAAUUCCUGGUGUAGCGGUGAAAUGCGUAGAUAUCAGGAGGAACACCGGUGGCGAAGGCGGCUAUCUGGACAGAAACUGACGCUGAGGCGCGAAAGCUAGGGGAGCAAACAGG